rnacentral:rRNA from 1 species
AACGAACGCUGGGGGCAGGCCUAACACAUGCAAGUCGAGCGGACCUUUCGGGGUCAGCGGCGGACGGGUGAGUAACGCGUGGGAAUAUGCCCUUCUCUACGGAAUAGUCCUGGGAAACUGGGGGUAAUACCGUAUACGCCCUGUGGGGGAAAGAUUUAUCGGGGAAGGAUUAGCCCGCGUUGGAUUAGGUAGUUGGUGGGGUAAUGGCCUACCAAGCCGACGAUCCAUAGCUGGUUUGAGAGGAUGAUCAGCCACACUGGGACUGAGACACGGCCCAGACUCCUACGGGAGGCAGCAGUGGGGAAUCUUAGACAAUGGGGGCAACCCUGAUCUAGCCAUGCCGCGUGAGUGAUGAAGGCCUUAGGGUUGUAAAGCUCUUUCAGCUGGGAAGAUAAUGACGGUACCAGCAGAAGAAGCCCCGGCUAACUCCGUG